rnacentral:rRNA from 1 species
CUUGGGAUAAGCCUGGGAAACUGGGUCUAAUACCGGAUAGGACCAUGCUUUAGUGUGUGUGGUGGAAAGUUUUUUCGGUGUAGGAUGAGCCCGCGGCCUAUCAGCUUGUUGGUGGGGUAAUGGCCUACCAAGGCGGCGACGGGUAGCCGGACUGAGAGGUUGGUCGGCCACAUUGGGACUGAGAUACGGCCCAG